rnacentral:lncRNA from 1 species
UCUUCCCUUUUGCGGCCAUCACCGAAGCGGGAGCGGCUUAGAAGAGAGAUUGCAUUCCUGAGAAAGAUGCUUCUGAGACUCUUGCUCCCAAAGAGUGGCAAGAUGAGUUGAGCCAGGGACCAAAAAACAGUUGUACGUGGACACUAUAAAGGUCAGCAAAUUGGCAAAGUAGUCCAGGUUUACAGGAAGAAAUAUGUUAUCUACAUUGAACGGGUGCAGCGGGAAAAGGCUAAUGGCACAACUGUCCACGUAGGCAUUCACCCCAGCAAGGUGGUUAUCACUAGGCUAAAACUGGACAAAGACCGCAAAAAGAUCCUCGAACGGAAAGCCAAAUCUCGCCAAGUAGGAAAGGA